AUUGCAGAGAUGGCUUAGUGCUCGAAAGAGAGCCGUAACACAGGGUGCUGCAUGGCUGUCGUCAUCUCGUGUCGUGAGAUGUUGGGUUAAGUCCCGCAACGAGCGCAACCCUUGUCAUUAGUUGCUACGAAAGGGCACUCUAAUGAGACUGCCGGUGACAAACCGGAGGAAGGUGGGGAUGACGUCAAGUCCUCAUGGCCCUUAUAGGUGGGGCUACACACGUCAUACAAUGGCCGGUACAAAGGGUCGCAAACCCGCGAGGGGGAGCUAAUCCAUCAAAGCCGGUCGUAGUCCGGAUCGCAGUCUGCAACUCGACUGCGUGAAGUCGGAAUCGCUAGUAAUCGUGGAUCAGCAUGUCACGGUGAAUACGUUCCCGGGUCUUGUACACACCGCCCGUCACACCAUGGGAGCGGGUCUCGCCAGAAGUAGUUAGCCUAACCGCAAGGAGGGCGAUUACCACGGCGGGGUUCGUGACUGGGGUGAAGUCGUCGUAAC
rnacentral:rRNA from 1 species